rnacentral:rRNA from 1 species
GACGAACGCUGGCGGCGUGCCUAAUACAUGCAAGUCGAACGCUUCUUUCCUCCCGAGUGCUUGCACUCAAUUGGAAAGAGGAGUGGCGGACGGGUGAGUAACACGUGGGUAACCUACCCAUCAGAGGGGGAUAACACUUGGAGACAGGUGCUAAUACCGCAUAACAGUUUAUGCCGCAUGGCAUAAGAGUGAAAGGCGCUUUCGGGUGUCGCUGAUGGAUGGACCCGCGGUGCAUUAGCUAGUUGGUGAGGUAACGGCUCACCAAGGCCACGAUGCAUAGCCGACCUGAGAGGGUGAUCGGCCACACUGGGACUGAGACACGGCCCAGACUCCUACGGGAGGCAGCAGCAGGGAAUCUUCGGCAAAGGACGAAAGUCUGACCGAGCAACGCCGCGUGAGUGAAGAAGGUUUUCGGAUCGUAAAACUCUGUUGUUAGAGAAGAACAAGGACGUUAGUAACUGAACGUCCCCUGACGGUAUCUAACCAGAAAGCCACGGCUAACUACGUG